AGAUACUCCUGUAAGCUACAGUGCAGAAAACAAAGUUCACCUACAGACAGACUGCAAUGCUGCACGUGAACAGCACGGUGAAGAGAAGGAUGCCCUUCUGGAGUGUGAGCAUGGAGCUCCACGGGAACACUACAGUGAAGAGGACGAGGUUUCUCUGGAGCAUGAGGCUGAAGGUAAGCGCCCCAGAGCUGGAUUCUACACAGGUCUGUGACUGGGACAAGCCUCAAGCUGC